AUAUACAGUAUAUCAAAAUCCCGCAUUAGGCUCCAUAUCCACCAUCUGACCCGAUCCAGAGUGAAGUAAAAAUAUUGUGUAAGCAACGCCAGACAAAAAUAAAAAAUUUUUUUUGAACCAUUGUGUCUCCAGAGUACCGAUGGUUAAUUGCUAGGGCCUUCUUCGAACAAGGAGUAAAUCGAUUGUAGCAAAAACGAACUUUGAAUUAAACAAAUUUCGAAUAGCAGGGCCAAAAUCAACCCAUAAAUUAUUUUAUAAUUCUUUGAUUCGAAACUAAAUAAAUCGUUUUAAAUAGCAAUUUUAAAACAUUUUUAAAAUCACGAAACUUCAAAUUUUUAAUCAAGUGCACCCUGCCUUGCUUAGCUGUAAGAUUUGGAUAGGAUCCUUCAAAUUGGAGUUGGAUAGUAUUUUGUUACAGGUCUUGCCUAGCUGUAGUCAAAAAUGUAGUUUAAUCGAAUUAUAGCACAAAUAAACCCAUGUUAGUAUGAUUGAGUCUGGGAGAAGUUUUGUGCUAAAUUGCGAGUUUCUUCAUGAUCGACUUGAUAAAAGGGACAUGUUCCUUGAUCACCUUCAACUUCCCAUUCAGAACUGUGAUUAGUAUAGGCGGCCAGCGAGUUCUCCAAGGCAGCGAGAGAAAAUAACUUCACGCCGAUUCGAGAGAAAAUUGAGCAGCCAUUGUCGUACGCCCCAGAUGAUUUUGUGCCGUCGAAGUCGAAAGGAGAGUAUUGGGAGUUUCAUUAUAAACUUCACCUGGCGAAUAGAGAGGAGGGAGAGAAUUUGCACUCCAAGAUUCUAAACGCCGAUCAGUGGAAGAAAAAUGCGAGGAUGUCAAAAUCAGCUUUGCGCGAAAAGGCCAAUGAUGGUGGGAUUUACCGAAUCGUCACGUUAAGGUUGUAUGAUGGUGACAAAGCACACGCAAAAGGCAAAUGCGAUGAAUUGAAAGCAUGGCUAACUUCAAACGAAUGUAACGUCAUUAAGAUUCAAAGAGAGAUUUCGGUGUACGACGACUACUUGGAGCUGGACCAAGGGUGGCUAUAAGUCGAAAUCGAGAGAACUACUGCAUGUAGGCUAAGACCUGCAAUAUAAUGUUAAAGCUAACUUACUAAAUCCCACCUCUGUUCAAGUUUGACUUAAGUUAACGAAGUCUAUAAUUUCAAAUCCAGGUAAAUAACACUGCUUUAAUACAGAUCCGAAAUAGUUCAAUCAAUGUCUCCGACAAUCAACACAGUUAUCUUUUAAAUGAAUUUCCGGGUUUUCGGCUACAGUCAGUCUUAGACUCUAUCUAUACUAUAGUAUAUUGUGCCGUCGAGGCUAAGUGGUUCAUAUCAAUUACUCAUAACAGUAUUACCUUUAUAAGUUGUUACAGUUUUUAUUUUGUGAAACUUUAUGAUUCAAUACUCUGCUUCUGAUUUUCAUGACUUCGCUAUGUUGCAUAUAUUCAUUUGUGUGUUACUUGAAAUAUAUAACCAAAUACAUUGGUAAUAAUAACAAAACAAAAAAACAAUAUCAAAUGUUACACACAUCUGUGUCAUUUCUGUUUAUAGUUUUGU